rnacentral:rRNA from 1 species
CAGCCGCCACGGUAAUACGAAGGGGGCUAGCGUUGUUCGGAAUUACUGGGCGUAAAGCGCGUGUAGGCGGGUCUUUAAGUCAGAGGUGAAAUGCCAAGGCUCAACCUUGGAACUGCCUUUGAUACUGGAGAUCUUGAGUCCGGGAGAGGUGAGUGGAAUUGCGAGUGUAGAGGUGAAAUUCGUAGAUAUUCGCAAGAACACCAGUGGCGAAGGCGGCUCACUGGCCCGGAACUGACGCUGAGACGCGAAAGCGUGGGGAGCAAACAGGAUUAGAUACCCGUGUAGUCCCUGUCUCUUAUAC